ACGGGAGGCAGCAGUGGGGGAUAUUGCACAAUGGGGGAAACCCUGAUGCAGCGACGCCGCGUGAGUGAUGAAGUAUUUCGGUAUGUAAAGCUCUAUCAGCAGGGAAGAAAAUGACGGUACCUGACUAAGAAGCUCCGGCUAAAUACGUGCCAGCAGCCGCGGUAAUACGUAUGGAGCAAGCGUUAUCCGGAUUUACUGGGUGUAAAGGGAGCGUAGACGGUGACGCAAGUCUGAAGUGAAAGGUGUGGGCUCAACCCGCAAACUGCUUUGGAAACUGUGUGACUAGAGUGUCGGAGAGGUAAGUGGAAUUCCUAGUGUAGCGGUGAAAUGCGUAGAUAUUAGGAGGAACACCAGUGGCGAAGGCGGCUUACCGGACGAUAACUGACGUUGAGGCUCGAAAGCGUGGGGAGCAAACAGGAUUAGAUACCCUGGUA
rnacentral:rRNA from 1 species